rnacentral:rRNA from 1 species
AUUGAACGCUGGCGGCAGGCCUAACACAUGCAAGUCGAGCGGAGCGGCGGACGGGUGAGUAAGGCCUAGGAAUGGGCCUGGUAGUGGGGGAUAACGUCCGGAAACGGGCGCUAAUACCGCAUACUAUCAGAUGAGUCUAGGUCGGAUUAGCUAGUGGGUGGGGUAAAGGCCUACCAAGGCGACGAUCCCUAACUGGUCUGAGAGGAAGAUCAGUCACACUGGAACUGAGACACGGUCCAGACUCCUACGGGAGGCAGCAGUGGGGAAUAUUGGACAAUGGGCGAAAGCCUGAUCCAGCCAUGCCGCGUGUAUGAAGAAGGCCUUCGGAUUGUAAAGUACUUUGAGCUGGGAGGCGUUACCAACAGAAUAAGCACCGGCUAACUUCGUGCCAGCAGCCGCGGUAAUUC